rnacentral:rRNA from 1 species
GCAGGAGGUUGCUGCUAUCAGAAUCCGGCUAAGACAUGCAAGUCAAGGGGCCCUCGGGUCACUGGCAGACUGCUCAGCAUCACGUCGAUAAUCUGCCCUUAGGUCAGGGAUAACCUUGGGAAACUGAGGCUAACACCUGGCAGGGAAUAGUUACUGGAAUGUUCUAUUCCUGAAAGCUUCGGUGCCUAAGGAUGAGUCGGCGGCCCAUCAGGUUGUUGGCGGUGUAAUGGACCACCAAGCCUAAGACGGGUAGGGGCCAUGAGAGUGGUUGCCCCGAGAAGGACACUGAGACACUGGUCCUAGCCCUACGGGGUGCAGCAGUUACGAAACCUUUACAAUGCACGCAAGUGUGAUAAGGGGAUUCUGAGUGCUUAUGUAUUGCAUAGGCUUUUGCCAAGAGUAAAGAUCUUGGCGAAUAAGUGGUGGGCAAGACUGGUGCCAGCCGCCGCGGUAACCCCAGCGCCACAAGUGGGAACCAUAAUUAUUGGGUCUAAAGCAUCCGUAGCCGGUUAAGUAAAUUCUCUGUGAAAUCGUCGGGCCUAACCCGACGGCGUGCAGGGAACACUGCUUAACUUGAGACCAGGAGAGGUAGAAGGUAUUCUAGGGGGAGCGGUAAAAUGUUAUAAUCCCUGGAGGACCACCGAUGGCGAAGGCAUUCUACCAGAAUGGAUCUGACGGUGAGGGAUGAAAGCUAGGGGAGCGAUCCGGAUUAGAUACCCGAGUAGUCCUAGCUGUAAACGCAGCGUGCCAGAUGUUGCACAAUCCACGAGAUUGUGCAGUGUCGAAACGAAGGUGUUAAGCACGCCACCUGGGAAGUACGGCCGCAAGACUGAAACUUAAAGGAAUUGGCGGGGGCACACUACAAGGGGUGCGGCGUGCGGUUUAAUUGAAUUCAACGCCGGGAAUCUUACCGGGGGCGACGGCAGGAUGAAGGUCAGUCUAAAGGGCUUACCAGACGAGCCGAGAGGAGGUGCAUGGCCGCCGUCAGCUCGUGCCGUGAGGUGUCCUGUUAAGUCAGGCAACGAGCGAGACCUGUAUUUCUAUUUGCUAACGCGCUAGUAAUGGUGAGCGAGCACAAUAGGAAGACUGCCUUGGAAACAAGGAGGAAGGUGCAGGCUACGGUAGGUGGUAUGCCCCGAAUCUCCCGGGCUACACGCGCGCAACAAUGGUAGGUACAAUGGGAUGCAACUCUGUAAAGAGAAGCCAAUCCUCGAAAACCUACCUCAGUACGAAUUGAGGGUUGUAACCCACCCUCAUGACGCCGGAAUCCCUAGUAAUCAGAGUUUAGCAUACUCCGGUGAAUAUGUCCCUGUGCCUUGCACACACCGCCCGUCAAUCCAACCGAGCAGGGUUUAGGUGAGCCGCAUUGUGAAAAUGUGUCGAACCUAAGCUCAGCAAGGUGGGAUAAGUCGACACAAGGUA